UCCCUGAGCUCUGGUACUCAUGGCGCAACCAGAUCAACGGUUUAGCCGCCCUCGGCUACCGUGCUUUGGCGCCCGACCUCCGCGGUUACGGCGGAACAGAUGCACCAGAUUCCGUCGCCGAUUACACUUGCUGCCACGUGGUGGGAGACCUCAUCGCGCUUCUGGACACGGUGGCGCCGCAGGAGAAGGAGGAUAAGGUGUUUGUCGUUGGGCACGAUUGGGGUGCCAUCAUUGCUUGGUACUUGUGCUUGUUUAGACCGGACCGGGUUAAAGCUUUGUACAAUUUGAGUGUGCCAUUUAUUCCUUAUGAUCCUCGGUUUAAACCGGUCGAGACUUGGAAAGCUUUCUAUGGGAAGGAUCACUACAUCGUCCGGUUUCAGGUUCGAAAUUUUUUUAUUAUUAUUAACCAAAACUCUAUUAAAAGAAAUUUAAAUUUUGAUUUAAUGGAUAAAAUUCAUAUUUUAAUAUUUAAUAUUAAUCGGUUGGAUCUGUUAAAUCAAUUUUGAUUUUUUAUAGUAGAUUGUUAAAAUUUGAUUAAAUUGAUUUGAUCGAAAAUCGAUUAAUAUAUUAAUUUAGAGAAAGAAAUUAAUUGAACUUUGAAUCGGGAUAAAUCAAGAUAAAAUUUGAUUGCGCCAACAAUUAAACCAAAUUUUAUAUUUUUAAUUUUUAAUUUUUAAAAAAAAAUGAAUUUUAAUAAUGUAUUUAAUUGAAAUUAGAUCAAUGAUCGAACUGAGAAUGGAUAGUUUGACGAGUUUAAUAAUUAAAAAAUAUUAACAAAUAGUAAGUCGGUUUUUGUUUUUGUUAAUAUUAUAUGUUACAUAUAUUAUAUAAUAAAUAUAUUUAAAAAUUUGAAAUAUAUAUUAAAAUCAAUUAAGUUGAUGGGUUGAAUUACGAAAAAUUAAAAUUUAUAAUAAAUUAACAUGGUUCAAAAUAUCAUAAUAGUAAAAAUUUUAACUUUUAUCAUUUAUUUUGUAUAUUAUUUUUAUAAUAUAUUUAUUACAUAAAUUUAUAAAAAUAUAAUUAUAAAAAAUAUUUUACUGAAUUAGUACCAUGAUCGAAAAAUUAUCAAAAAAAUUAUUUUUUAAAAAGUAAAUUAUAUAAAUAUAAGAGUGUUUGGUUUUUUUUUUACUUUUUAUAAAUUAAUAAAAGAUUAUUAAUAAUAAAAUAUAAUGGGUGUCAUGAAGGAAGGCCUAACUAUAAAACAUAGAUCUUUAAAAUUUUAGGAAAUUUCGAGUUAGUUACAGUAAUAAAAUUGCACUUUGAUGUUUCAAAAAUUUAUGCUAAUUUUUUAGCUUUGCUCUUGGAUGUUUUGAUUGAUGUGAUCAGAAUUAGCGGCACAAACUGGAAUUUCAACCGGUGCCGAGUUGGACUGACUACAUUGCUUUAGAUUAUUAACCUUUUAUUGACAAAUUAAAUUGAGUCGAGUUCAUAUUAGAGUUCGUACGUAUUCAAUUUUCAGAUUUGGGUUAAAAUUGAGAUCUGUGUUACAUUGGUGCAGGAACCUGGAGUAAUGGAAGCAGAGUUUGCAGAGAUUGGUGUAGGACGAGCAGUUUUGGAGCUGUUAUCGUAUCGGGUACCCGACCCACUUUAUUUACCAAAGGGAAAUCUAUUCGGGCAACCACUAGAUUCUCCGGUUAACUUGCCGCCAUGGCUGUCGGAGAAAGACGCGGAUUACUAUGCCACCCAAUUCCAAAUAACCGGCAUCACCGGUGCCCUCAAUUAUUACCGCAACUUUGAUCGGUGUGUUUUUCUUUCUUUAUUUUUUUCGAUAAAAAGAAUCAGUUUACUUUUUAAUCAACUUGUAGGGAUUAAUUUGAGGAACAAAAUGGAAUCUAACUCCUAUAUUAGGAUCUCCAUGAUAGUGUUACCUAUUUCACAUUUUGAUUGGUUUUGUUAUAGAAACUGGGAACUAUCUGCACCAUGGUGGAAAAGCCAGAUCAAGGUACCUGUAAAGUUUGCAAUGGGGGACCUUGAUCUUGUGUAUACAAUGCCUGGUAUGAAGGAUUAUAUUCACAACGGUGGGUUCAACAGGGAUGUGCCCUUUCUUGAAGAAGCUCUUGUCAUCAAUGGAGUUUCUCAUUGGAUCCACCAAGAAAUACCUGAUCAAAUCAAUCAAUUAUUGUUCGACUUCUUCUCCAAGUUCCAUUAAAUUUAAAUAAUAAUAAUAAUAAUAUCAAAUUUAGUAAAAAUAGGAAAAAAAAAACCAUGUUGUACCUUUGUUGUUUUUAUUUUUUAAGUCCAAAUGUUGGUUCGAUUUGAGAGGAUUAAAAUAAAAAUAUUAGAUAUAAAAAACAGUUUUGGGUAAAAAUAUUAAUUUUGUUUAAAAUAUAAAUCAGGUUUAGGCUUGAUCUUUCGAGGUUUGAAUUCUUUAUUAAGGUUGUAAUAUAUUGUUGCUUCUAUAUAAGAUAUAAUAUGGUUAUUUAUAAAUAUGGAUGAACUUGAAUAAAAUUUUAAGUUUAUAUUUUGAAUUAGAUUAAACUUAAGCAAGCAUAAAAUAUAAUAAUAUUACAUUAAAUUUUGCUUAACUCAUAAACUCAUGAACAUAAACAAUUCUGUUUUAAUUAUUAUUAUUUUUAACAAAAAUUAUUAAUUUUUUGUUGAAAGUAAAAAGUAUUUUAAUAGAAUUUAUUUCAUACAAUGUAAAUAAACCGCUUAAAUUACGUGAUAGAUUCAUAUGGUAAUACACGUUUAUGUUAGUAAAAUUAAUAAAUAUUUAUUUAUUUUAGAUAGUUUGAUUACUAACACAAAUUAAGAACGAAAGAGGUAAACCAAUAAAAUCGAGAUUACGAUGUAUCAUAUUUAUUAUUUUGAUGGUAGGAAAAGUAUUUCAGAUAACAUGAUAAAAUGAUGGGACUGUCUAAAACAUGUGAGACCCACUAAUUAGCAGCAACUUCCGCCCGUGUGUUGUUGAUUUGCUGUAAAUGAUUGUCAUUUUGAAGACGAAAACUAACCGUCUUGAUGCAGUUGCGUAGCUUGACAAUGUCAUUUGGGUCGACAAGGGAGCAGGCCGUUCCAUAACCAUAACUAUAACCAUAAUCUCCUUUCCUGCAUGAUAUGUGAAUGUUGUUUUAUCUUGAUUAGAUCAAUUAGAUCAAGGAUAGGUUAGAGUAUUAAUUUAGAAAAUGACUUUAAAUCGAUUAAAUUAAAAAUUGUUCGUUCAAUUGAAAUUUUUAAAAUUUUUAAUUUGAAUUUGAGUUGAUGAACCGAUAGCUUGACCAAUUUUACUUAGACCUGUCCAUUGGUUGGAUCAGGUCUUGAAAAAAUUUUAGACCUUUAGAUAGACCCAGGUUUGGUCUGACCCGAUCCAAAAAUUGGAUUUAAAAUUUUAUCUAAAUCUGACCUGGAUAAAAAUACUAAAAUUUGGACCUAAUCCGGCUCGACUCGUAUUAAUUUUUUUUAUAAUUUUUAAAAAUAUAUAUAAUACAUCAACAAUACUAAAAAAUUAAAAUAAAUAUUUCCCAACAAAUUAAAAAUAAAUUUAAAAACUUUGUACUUAAAUAACACUAUGAUAGGUUAAUAAGUAAAUGCCUCUAAAGUUGUAGUAAAAUUAAUAAUAAAAUAAGAGAUAUAAUAUUCAAACAAUGAAAUGACAACAAAACAGUGAAAAAAACAAAAAAGGUAGUAGAAAAACAAGAAAAUAGUAGAUUCUUUUUUCUUUUCGCAAAUUCGAGCCGGGCCGGACCGAUGCAAAAGAUAUCUUAUCGAAAGCCCAGCCUAUUUUCUAAGCAGAUCAUUUUUUUUGUCUAAACUUAUUUUUUCAACUUAUAUUUUUACUCCACUGUACACUUCUCGGAUUAACCUUCAUAAGCGCAACCUCUAUACUGUUAUAGUUUUUUUUAAAAAAAAAAACCGGUUUAAAAAACAUUGAUAUUUCAAUUUAAAACAACAUUAGGUUUAUUAUUAUAUAUAACGAAAAGCUUAAGCUUAAGCUUAAGAAAGUGAUAGACAUUGAAGAAGAGAUGAAAAGUAUGGAGGGAAUUCAACACAAAACAGUGAGCGUCAAUGGCAUCAACAUGCACAUAGCCGAGAAAGGGGAAGGUCCUUUGAUUCUCUUCAUCCAUGGCUUCCCUGAGCUCUGGUAUACAUGGCGCCACCAGAUCAACGGUUUAGCUGCCCUCGGCUACCGUGCUUUGGCGCCCGACCUCCGUGGUUACGGUGGAACCGAUGCGCCGGAUUGCGUCGCCGAUUACACUUGCUUCCACGCGGUGGGAGACCUCAUCGCGCUUCUGGACAUGGAGGCGCCGCCGGAGAAGGAGGAUAAGGUGUUCGUCGUAGGACACGAUUGGGGUGCCAUCAUUGCUUGGUUCUUGUGCUUGUUUAGGCCGGACAGGGUUAAAGCUUUGUUCACUUUGAGUGCGCCGUUU
rnacentral:lncRNA from 1 species